rnacentral:rRNA from 1 species
GAUGAACGCUGGCGGCGUGCUUAAUACAUGCAAGUCGAACGAAGAGCUUUUGUAGCAAUACGGAAGCUUCUUAGUGGCGAACGGGUGCGUAACGCGUUGGUGACCUGCCCCGAAGUGUGGGAUAACAGUUCGAAAGGACUGCUAAUACCGCAUGUGAUCUUCAGUUUUAGAAUCUGAUGAUUAAAGCAGUAAUGCGCUUUGGGAGGGACCUGCGUCCCAUCAGCUAGUUGGUGAGGUAAUGGCCCACCAAGGCGUAGACGGGUAGGGGACCUGAGAGGGUGGCCCCCCACAAUGGAACUGAAACACGGUCCAUACACCUACGGGAGGCUG